rnacentral:lncRNA from 1 species
UUUCCUCUCUUCCCAUUGCUCUCUAAGAAGCUUAAUUUAAUGUCUUUCCAGACAGUAAUGAGGAUCUACGAAGCAUCAGGUGGUUUGAUAUUGUUUUUUUGAAUUAUUAUGGAUCUCUAAUAGUUGAAUUGCAUGCAUGAUUGCCCACCUCCUAUUAUGAUUGCCCACCUCCUAUUCAUAACUCCUGGUUUUGAUAUGUUCUAUGUAUUAAUAGACUGGAACAUCCCAUUAGGAAGACAACGUUGCCCAGCAUGAAUUCUAUCAAAAACUUGUAUCAGUUUCAAGAGCUUGGUUAUGUUGUGCUACUAAUCUUGCU